UACGUAGGGGGCAAGCGUUGUCCGGAUUUAUUGGGCGUAAAGAGCGUGUAGGCGGCCUGACAGGUCUGCUGUGAAAACUCGAGGCUCAACCUCGAGAUGUCGGCGGAAACCGUCUGGCUAGAGUCCGGAAGAGGAGAGUGGAAUUCCUGGUGUAGCGGUGAAAUGCGCAGAUAUCAGGAAGAACACCUAUGGCGAAGGCGGCUCUCUGGAACGCAACUGACGCUGAGACGCGAAAGCGUGGGGAGCAAACAGG
rnacentral:rRNA from 1 species